rnacentral:lncRNA from 1 species
AUCGCCGCGGCCGGGAUAGGGCGCCGCCGUUCUGGCCGGCUCUCUCGGUGCCCUGGAGGACCUGGCCGGCUUCGCGGGAAGCUGUGCUCAGAGCGCGCGGCCGCCCUCUGGCAGGGAGGAGCUCGUUGCACUUUUGAGGGUUCUUCACGAAGACAUCCAAUACAUAGAAAACAAGUAACAGCAACAGUAACGAAUUUUUAAAUAUUAAAAUUGCUGGGGAACACGACGGAUCCUGCAGCUGCUCGGCUGUCCUGGUCGUCAGUUACGCUAGGGCUCCGCACCGUACCCUGCAUACCGUAGGUGCUCACGAAACGUUCGUGAGUUCCCUGCUUUGAGGAAACAAACUUAAAAACUCAGAAUCUAAGGUGUGAGUCUCCCCAAACCUGCUUGUUGGGCAGCGUGCCCCGCCCGGGCUCGCCCUGCACGCCCCACCCCGGAGCCACGCUUCUCCAGCCGGGCUGAUUCAAGGGGGCCCUGCCCCGCAUCCUUCCUGCUCUACCAGCCAUCGCGACACCACCUUCCAUGAGCUCCAUUUCCAGGACUGGCCCAUCUGGGCAUCACAGUCCCAACCACAAUGCGUGUUUGGUCCUUGGGGCUUCCUGGAUAACUUGGAGCUUUGUGAGAACUCCAAAAGGAUUUCUUCUGAAGAACCAAACCCAUGUUUCAUAGGCGACACGCAGUUUGCUCCUUUCAACAUGCACACAAAACACACAUGCAUGAAACAGCAAAUGAGAGCAGCCUCGGCAUGAUCUGAGAGUCUGCCAGUCCCUUCCUCACCAGAGCAGGGCUCAAAACCAUACUCCUCACAUCCUCGGAUUCUGGGGUGCAGCCCUCAGGGACAGCUUGGGGCUGAGGCCAGAACACAGUCGGCAGGGCCCAGAGCUUCUCCCCUGACCCCACCUGGCACGUGGCUCAGAGCCAGUGGGGCUGGCCAAGGGUUGCUUUUCCAGUAUGAUUUGCUUAUUUUCUUUUGCUGCUCUUUUUCUCGCUCUCACCUGCACUCUCUGCUCUGUCCCUGCUCCUCAGGGGUUUCAAGAUCAAGACGCUUAUUGUCGAGAACUGUCUUCCUUUCAAAAAUGGCUUACAGUUCUGGCCCCAAAUGCAGGAUUUUAGCUACACUGCCACAUCAUUCAA